rnacentral:misc_RNA from 1 species
GAAGCGGUCGACCCAUUAAUUCCUACAGAAUGAAUAAUGGAAGCAUCACAUAACUCCACCAAUCUAGGACUUAUUGAGAUGAUCUUUACCAGAAAAAGAUGCAUGUGAUUCUGGGAUGAGAUGAAACACAACCAUACAGCAAUUAAUACUAGUACGUUUGCACACGUAUGUGAAUAUUGGAAGAUAAUUAUCAGAAAGACAUGCAUUAUACUUGAAUGGAAAUGAAGAGAAUUCUUCUUCUCAAGGUUUAAAAAUAAAAUGUGUAAACUCCUGCCAGUACACAACAUUAUCUUUCACUUCUCCAUGUUAGCUCUACAGUUACCCAUCCCUUUGUUCUUUGGUAAACAAGGUCCCCGUGACAACAAAAGCCAAGUUAACUGAUCACCAGAAGGAUCCUUCUAGCCACAGCAAAUCAGGGAAGCCAUUGGAGAUGUCAAUUGAUUUUCCAGGUGGCAGGUUGAAGGAGUUAAAUUGAUGAAUUGCCAUUAUUAGUUUCAAAAUCAUAUUUAAACUAUAAAGGAGAAACAAAGCAAAUAAAGAAGGACGAAAAUUCCAGAUCAUUGAAGGAGGCUAACAAAAAUGCAUGUUGUAACUUUAGUAAAAAAUGGAUGCAGAAGGGGAAGAAUUUGGUAAUAGAUCAAGAAUGCCCAACCUCAUUGCUCUUUUUUUCCUUUUCUUUUUAAUGAUCAUCACACAGAACUAUAAAGGAUCUGUUUGGCAUGAAUAUUAGAACUGCUAUUAAUUAGUUAGAAUGUAUUAAAAAUUUAUAUAAAUUAAAUUUGACAUAUGUUAGUUAUAGUUUUUUUUUUUUUUUUCUGAAAUGUAGUUUCUAGAACCUCAAUGCCAAAUGGGCUCAACGUGUGCAUAGAUUUUCUUUAUUUAAAAAAAAAAAAUCCUUUAAACUAAGUACAAAGCUCAAGU